GAGCUUGCUCCUUUGACGUUAGCGGCGGACGGGUGAGUAACACGUGGGCAACCUACCCUAUAGUUUGGGAUAACUCCGGGAAACCGGGGCUAAUACCGAAUAAUCUCUUUUGCUUCAUGGUGAAAGACUGAAAGACGGUUUCGGCUGUCGCUAUAGGAUGGGCCCGCGGCGCAUUAGCUAGUUGGUGAGGUAACGGCUCACCAAGGCGACGAUGCGUAGCCGACCUGAGAGGGUGAUCGGCCACACUGGGACUGAGACACGGCCCAGACUCCUACGGGAGGCAGCAGUAGGGAAUCUUCCACAAUGGGCGAAAGCCUGAUGGAGCAACGCCGCGUGAGUGAAGAAGGUUUUCGGAUCGUAAAACUCUGUUGUAAGGGAAGAACAAGUACAGUAGUAACUGGCUGUACCUUGACGGUACCUUAUUAGAAAGCCACGGCUAACUACGUGCCAGCAGCCGCGGUAAUACGUAGGUGGCAAGCGUUGUCCGGAAUUAUUGGGCGUAAAGCGCGCGCAGGCGGUCCUUUAAGUCUGAUGUGAAAGCCCACGGCUCAACCGUGGAGGGUCAUUGGAAACUGGGGGACUUGAGUGCAGAAGAGGAGAGUGGAAUUCCAAGUGUAGCGGUGAAAUGCGUAGAGAUUUGGAGGAACACCAGUGGCGAACGCGACUUUCUGGUCUGUAACUGACGCUGAGGCGCGAAAGCGUGGGGAGCAAACAGGAUUACAUACCCUGGUAGUCCACGCCGUACACGAUGAGUGCUAAGUGUUAGGGGGUUUCCGCCCCUUAGUGCUGCAGCUAACGCACUAAGCUCUCCGCCUGGCGAGUACGGUCGCA
rnacentral:rRNA from 1 species